rnacentral:rRNA from 1 species
UACGUAGGUGGCAAGCGUUAUCCGGAUUUAUUGGGCGUAAAGCGAGCGCAGGCGGUUUGAUAAGUCUGAUGUGAAAGCCUUUGGCUUAACCAAAGAAGUGCAUCGGAAACUGUCAGACUUGAGUGCAGAAGAGGACAGUGGAACUCCAUGUGUAGCGGUGGAAUGCGUAGAUAUAUGGAAGAACACCAGUGGCGAAGGCGGCUGUCUGGUCUGCAACUGACGCUGAGGCUCGAAAGCAUGGGUAG